UGGGUAACCUGCCUCAAAGAGGGGAAUAGCCUCCCGAAAGGGAGAUUAAUACCGCAUAAUAUGUUUAAUCGCAUGAUUUUAACAUCAAAGGAUUUUCUUAGGGAAUUCCACUUUGAGAUGGACCCCGCGGCGCAUUAGCUAGUUGGUGAGGUAACGGCUCACCAAGGCAACGAUGCGUAGCCGACCUGAGAGGGUGAUCGGCCACAUUGGAACUGAGACACGGUCCAGACUCCGUAGGGAGG
rnacentral:rRNA from 1 species